rnacentral:rRNA from 1 species
AGCGAACGCUGGCGGCAGGCCUAACACAUGCAAGUCGAACGAACCUUUCGGGGUUAGUGGCGGACGGGUGAGUAACACGUGGGAACGUGCCUUUAGGUUCGGAAUAACUCAGGGAAACUUGUGCUAAUACCGAAUGUGCCCUUCGGGGGAAAGAUUUAUCGCCUUUAGAGCGGCCCGCGUCUGAUUAGCUAGUUGGUUGAGGUAAUGGCUCACCAAGGCGACGAUCAGUAGCUGGUCUGAGAGGAUGAUCGGCCACAUUGGGACUGAGACACGGCCCAAACUCCUACGGGAGGCAGCAGUGGGGAAUCUUGCGCAAUGGGCGAAAGCCUGACGCAGCCAUGCCGCGUGAAUGAUGAAGGUCUUAGGAUUGUAAAAUUCUUUCACCGGGGACGAUAAUGACGGUACCCGGAGAAGAAGCCCCGGCUAACUUCGUG